UUGUGUACUGUGCAAAAUAUUAUGAUAUAUUCCAGCCUGGGAUACCGCUCGGCAGCUUAAAGGAAGAUAUUUUUUUCUUACACAGCCUGUAUGUUAGAACAGUAUACAAAGUAGUAAAUGACUAUUUGAAGAAAAUAUCUGGAAUAAGUGCAGUGCUGAAAACAUGUGCAUUAUCUAGCUGUGCUGCAGGAGAGUUUCAGUGAUGUUUUUUACGAAGGCAGAGAAACAUUAAUGAUAUAAUAUUAAUGGCAAGCGCAGGUUGUGAGCAUGAAUAAACGUGCAGUAAAUGAACGGACUCAGCCAUGCAAGAUACACAGAAUUCAAAAGCAAAGGAUCUUCACAGCGGCUCAUUCUAUCAGGCAAGGAAAAAGUAGAGGCUCAAGGAAGGAGAAAAUGGACCGUGCGAACUCAAUGGAUAAAAGAGCCGAAGGACAAAGAAAAAAGAGAAGAGCUGUGGCUGGCGAGUAGUCGGCCUCUCCCCGCCAGGUCGUGACAAAGAGAAACUUCAUGACACUAAGACAGCAGAAAACACGGGGCUGCGACGACGGCAUGGCCAGCGUUACCAAAAGCCAAGCAGAGGAUACCACGGCGGCGGAUGAACCACUGGUACCAACGCCGAGAGCAAGCUAUGACUCAACUCUUCCACAAGGACCUGCGUUCCGUGGGGCAUGGAACUGAAAUUUCUGUGACAGAUAAUCAAGACGAAGCAAAAUUGGCAAGAUAAAGUGCGAGUGAUUGUCAGAUCGAGGGCCGCCCGUCACGCUGACAACGAGGAUGACCUCCAAGACUACGUAGUUCGCUAAACUGCGGUCAUGUGAAGCCACGGCGACGUAACGCACCUGCGAUGGACUCCGAGCCUCGAGGAGGACCUUGCGUAAAGUGAGUGGGAGGAUAUGCAGCGCCAUCGCUAUGCAAAAUCAUCAAUCACAGAAGACAUCACCGGAGCAAAGCUUUCUUCUGAACUUAAGAGAAGAAUGAUAAAGGGCCUCCCCCCCACCAGUAUCCCCUCCCCCUUCCCGGACAGAAUUUCUCCAAUCGCAUUUGCAUCCUCAAGCAAUGGGAAAUUUCUUGCUCAGCAAAGAUAUUCCACACGCCCCAGGGGUCUUUUCCUCUUUCAUGCCUUUCUCCAUCAUAGCAUGAAUAUUUUAGGAAUUGCGGGACCGCUCCUGCUGGGCUGUUCCCAUGAAUGUUAAGAGAAAUAAACUGAUAACUUUAUGAAGCAUAAUUUGACAAAUUGUAUAUAGAUUUAACUGAAGCAUUUGAUGUUGCAUAGUAAUUUCACCCCAAAAUCAGAUUCAAGUUGCAGAAGUGUUUCAAAGUCAUUUUCACCCUUUUACUUGCAAUAAAAAGAUGAUGCAUUAAUUCUGAAAAUCUAAUAAAAAAUAGUCCUUGACAAGAUAACUUUUCUUUGUUUUGACUUGUUAAAAAGAAGUUUGUUUUAAACUUUAUAAUCUCUAUAACUUUCUUGAUCUAGUUUCGACAUUAAUAAAUAUGACCAAACUGAAGAUUUAAUUUUUUAUUCAACUAUCUUCUCCGUGAAAGAAGAAAAUCUGCACACACAAGAUAUAAAUUACACCGCCUUAUACAGUAAAAAGAUAUCUACAAAGAUCUACAAAUUAAGAACAUAUCUAUAACACCCUGGCAACUGUCUCAACGAACGUCAUUAUGUAUAGUUAUAAACAACAACAGAAGUUACAGACAACCAAGAUUUAGGUUCAUACAGUGACUCAAGGAUAAUUUGGUAAGCUACUACACAUGAUAAACCAAGUGAGACAAGUGAAACAUCCUCCCCCCUGCAAUGCCACAACGGUUUUUAAAUGUUAGGUUUCUAUAAUGUAGAUGAAUUUUCUGAAGUAUUCCAAGUGCUCAUUCUUGACAUUCUUCAUGAGCUUCUCAGAAAGCAACGCUUGAUGCGAUUUCCAUAUAACUGACGACGUAAUAAACAGGAUAUUGCAUAAUUUGGAUCAUUUUAUGAAUCAGCUUAUAUUUUUUCUGGUGUCAUGUCUUUCAGAUUUUGUUCCCUUGACACAUCAAUUUCACUAUCACCAAAUGCUUCAACAUGAUCAAUAGAGCAGCUAAAAAAAGAGCAAAUAACAACUUAUCAUUGUUGUCCCAACUCUUUUUUUUGUGUGUGUAUAUAUAGAAUUUCAUUCCUGUUUAAUGCACAGUCUAUAUGUGCUCACACCCAGUUUUCAUAAAUCAUAAAAAAAAAAAAUCACUUCAAAUCAGUUCCACAAUAUCAGUACAAUGCAAGCCUUCCUACUUUGGUCAGGCUGUUUGUUUUGUUUCAAGCACUUCAGUCCAACAAGCAAUCAUCUAAGAAGGGCACGUGCAGACUGCAGAAUCAUGGACUCAAGAGGGGAUCAAGAAGGAAGAAUCUCACUACUACAGAAGUAUUGGAAACAUGCAAUGUGAUGCAUUCUAUGCUGGGUAUGGUUAUGGUCUGGGAAGACGGAUCUGAAUUUCAUCCUUUACUCAGGAUUUUAAAAAUAAAGCAUAUUAUCCAAACUUUAUAACACAA